GAUGAACGCUGGCGGCGUGCCUAAUACAUGCAAGUCGAGCGAACGGACGAGAAGCUUGCUUCUCUGAUGUUAGCGGCGGACGGGUGAGUAACACGUGGAUAACCUACCUAUAAGACUGGGAUAACUUCGGGAAACCGGAGCUAAUACCGGAUAAUAUUUUGAACAGCAUGGUUCAAAAGUGAAAGACGGUCUUGCUGUCACUUAUAGAUGGAUCCGCGCUGCAUUAGCUAGUUGGUAAGGUAACGGCUUACCAAGGCAACGAUGCAUAGCCGACCUGAGAGGGUGAGCGGCCACACUGGAACUGAGACACGGUCCAGACUCCUACGGGAGGCAGCAGUAGGGAAUCUUCCGCAAUGGGCGAAAGCCUGACGGAGCAACGCCGCGUGAGUGAUGAAGGUCUUCGGAUCGUAAAACUCUGUUAUUAGGGAAGAACAUAUGUGUAAGUAACUGUGCACAUCUUGACGGUACCUAAUCAGAAAGCCACGGCUAACUACGUG
rnacentral:rRNA from 1 species